GAAAUUGGGGAUAAGAGGAGAUUGUUUCGCACAACCAUAAUUACAUAGAAAGAAGCAAGGGUUGGAUGCCUGCAUUUUUAGUAUAACAUGAGGCGUACAAGCGCAAGUACAAUCACCUCUCUCUCUCCAUUUUUUGGUUGAUCUUUUUUCCUUGGUUUUUCCAUCUCCCUUUGCAGUGGAGUACUUACAGAACUGACAGUUUAGCUGGGCAGUUGGUUCUGAUCUUAGCUUUGAAACAGUGUAGAGAAAAAAAAGAGAGUAAAUGAAAUGCGUUACAACCAAAGACUUAUUUUAGUUCUUCCUCCUUUGUCUCUUUCUACAGUAAAGAUGGCAUUAUUCUGGCCAAGGAAGUUUUAUAGGUAGUUGAAGGUGAGCCUCGUCACUAGCUGUGACUGAAGCAUACUGCACCAUCCCCUUUGUUCUCCAUUAAUAAAUUCGCUUCCUUCUUGAAAUUUAUACACCAGAGAUGACCGUCUCUCUAUACAUGUAUCAUCUAGUAAAAUAAUCCAACUUUUCAACUCUAAUUAGCAAACUAAAUGAGUGGUUACAGAUUAAAAGGAUUAUUGGUGUUAAAAUAUUUAUUUACCAAGUAC
rnacentral:misc_RNA from 1 species